rnacentral:rRNA from 1 species
CUAACUGCGUGCCAGAAGCGUCGGUAAGACGUGGGCCUCAAGCGUUAUCCGGUGUUACUGGGCGUAAAGAGUCGUGUAGGCGGUUUGGUCAGUCACUUUUUAAAUCCCAAUGCUCAACAUUGGAACCGGAGGUGAUACUACCAGACUAGAAUUAUCUAUAGGGUGAAUGGAACUGUGGGAGGAGUAGUGAAAUGCGUUGAUCCCCACGGGAACACCAGUGGCGAAGGCGGUUCACUGAUAGAUAAUUGACGCUGAGACACGAAAGCUAGGGGAGCGAAGCAGAUUAGAGACCUGCGUAGUCCUAGCCGUAAACGCAUGCUAGCUAGCUGCAUUUCCACCCCUUCGGGGGUCAGGUGUGGCGAAGGUAACCCGUUAAGCUAGCCGCCUGGGGAGUACGGCCGCAAGGCUAAAACUCAAAGGAAUUGGCGGGGAGGCACACAACCAGUGGAACAUGUGGUUUAAUUCGAAACAAACCGAAGAACCUCACCAGGGUUUGACAUGUAGCUGCACGUCCUAUGAAAGUAGGAUUCCUUCGAGGGUGCUACACAGGUGCUGCAUGGCUGUCGUCAGUUCGUUCCGUGAGGAGUGCCCUUAAGUGGGACAACGAACGCAACCCCUAUCGUAUGUUAUAUGUGUCAUACGAAACUGCCUUGCCGUUGGCGAGGAGGAAGGAGGGGCAGACGUCAAGUCCGCAUGGUCCUUAUGCCCUGGGCUACACACAUGUUACAAUGAGUAGGAACAAUGAGUUUCGCAAACUUGCGAAAGUAAGCAAAUCUCAGAAAUCUAUUCUCAGUGGGGAUUGUAGUCUGCAACUCGACUACAUGAACGCGGAAUUGGUAGUAAUCGCGGAUCAGCUAUGCCGCGGUGAAUACGUUCUUGCCUCUUGCACACACCGCCCGUCAAGCCAACAAAG